rnacentral:lncRNA from 1 species
GCAAAAGGUGCCAUCAAAAAGAAAACUAAGCGCCAUGUAGAUUGCACUUUUAGGAUUUAUUUCACAUAGGUUGCCAGCGGAAUUCAUAAUGAAGUUUGCCCAUUGUCUCUCAAUAGCCAGCAGCAUGGCCCAACAUAGUUUCCAACAUAAGAGGUUGUUAUGGGAUAUUAUUAUUACUAUUAAGUGUGAUUUAACCGACAAUAUUUUUAAAAGCAAGUAUUCAUUGAUGGAUAUUUAUCUUUACCACAAAAGUUUAGAAUGCGAUGGUAAUAUAAUGGCUUAAUAAUUGAAAUUCAAAGCUAUUUCUGUUACAAAUAUUGUGUUGAUAACAUUAUAAUACAGAUUCAAAAGAUAUAUUGUCUCCCUUUAACUGAGCUUUGUCAGAUUCAGAUAGUCUUCUGAUUACUCAUCGUUACAUAGCAAAUGGAUGUAAUGAAAAGCUAUCACGGGAGGAUGUGAAUUGGAUCAGAAUCUUUUCUUCCUGUGAGUGGAAAAGUAGCAUAGGAAAGACAAUUUGGAGUGUGGGGAAAAUCGCAGAGGGCAAAGAUUUAAGAUCACACAUACACCAACACUCCCGUGGCAGACUUCAAAGCUGAUGUGACUGCUUUUCAUAAAAUACACUUUAAGAAAUGCAGGGGAGACCGCAGUAUUAAUUCUAAUGGGCUUUUACUGCAGAACAUCAUACUGGUUAUAUUUAAAAUACUGGAUUUAGACUGUACCAGCCCAAUUAGAUAUUUAAUACAUCAAACAAAACAAAAACCAGUUUCUACAGAUGUAUCUUUGGUUAGAUCCUACUUCUAAAGCAUGUAUGAAAUGAUGGCCCAUCCCACUCCACAACUUUAUGGAUCAAUAACUCCUGAUAAAAUAAGGGAAGUGAGUGGUGAUUGAAAAGCCAUAAGGCACAGUUUGGUCUAUUAAUUUUUAGAUUGUGGGCAGAACCUGCUUUUAUUGUACCAUGCACUAGUAAUUGUUGGUAAUAACAACAAGAAGAGCAAUCACAAUUAGGUGCUUUAUGGCUAUGAACACUGCACCACACAAUCCAUUCUUGGUUUUGUCUGGAUAUCUGGCAGCCUUUUAAAAUACGUAUUUAGCAUUCAUGUAGUGAAGCCUGACAGUGAUUAAGUACCACCUGAGAAUGAGUUUUAGCUGAUAAUAAUUGAUUUACUAAUUUUUGUUGAGGUAGAUUCACAGUAGUGUUUGGAGCUUUAUACUCAUUUUAAAUUCCUUUAAGAAGAUAAAAGUGUGGCUAAAUAUUUAUAUUUGAGGUUAUGGAACUCCAACACAAAUGACAUUGAUGUCCUCAUUUAGGUGCAAGGUGAAAAUGUUUUUGUCCCACUCUACACAAAGGAAUUAAAAGUGAGCACAUUUUCAGGGUAAGUCACAACAAUUUAAAAUACAGCAUUAAAAACAGUUUAAAACAAAUUAACAACCACAAGCUUAGUAACCGUUUGCAAAAAAGUGAAGGUGGGCAGAGUAUUACUGACUUAACAUGUCUAAUAUUAUGCACAUCUACACCGGCAGAUUGGUACUGUGACUGUGACGCAAAAGAUCUUGGGGUCAUAGCGGAUAGUUCACUGACGGCAUCAACUACAGGUGCUGGAGCUGCAAAAAUGGCAAAAUCAGUACUGUAUUAACAAUGAUAAGGAAAGGGACUGAAAACAAAUCAGCAAUGAUCAUCCUAGUGACAGUUCCAUUAUGCAAAACGAUUGUGUGGGCAGAAAUAGGUCUCCUUUGUGUAACGUCAUAUGCUUUCCCAAAAAUCUUCACGCUUUCCCAAAAUCAGUUGGUGAAUAGAGGCACUUGUUAAGCUUCAUCUAUGACAAAUCCGUGAAAGCGACAAAGCUUGAAUCAUCAUUUGUAAUAUAAUUUCCUUCUCUCUCUCUCUCUGAGGCCUUUGCUGAAUAAUACAGUAAACUGCUGCUAUAUUCGAACGAUUAUCCCAUUCGUAUCCCCGCAGCAACCUAGGGAGUGUAGGACUAGCGGACCGAACCUAAGAUCCACCCAGCGAGUUCCGUGUCUUGAGCUAACGUGUGAAUCCACGCCUCCUUGACACGGCUCUUUUGCAGGCUCUCCUGUCACGCUGUCUGAAAAAGUUUCGCAACAAGCGCGCGGGAGGCUUUUUUGUGGGCGCUUAUGGGUGGCUGUGUGCCGUUGCGAAGGAUCCUGUUUUGUUUAUAGCGCGAGAGAGGCCUCGUUUCCCCUUGGAUGUGGGGGCGGCUGGCAGCUGCCCUCCCCUCGCAGCCUCCCUCGGCCUGGCUGGAGGUUUCUUUUCUUCCAGGCCUUCCCAAAACACAAGCCUCCCGGCAUCGGCCGGUUGCUAGGCGUCGUGAC